AAAAAUGUAAAAGUGUACUUAGGACACAGAAAUAUUCACCAGUAGUGGGUGUAUAAAGACAUCCUUAGAGCCACAGUUUUACUAGAGAGGAUCCCACCAACAGGAGAUAGGGCAGUGGACCUGUUGGAAUAGCAACAUCAUUUGGGUAGCAAGGAUUAUAUCACACAGCUCAGUGCACAAUACUAUCUGUUACACAUGGAUACCAGCAAUAAUACACGGGGGGCUCUGGUGUAGGAGACAGUAAGCUCUGUGCUCAUCCACGUUCUGAGUCUCAUCCUGCAACAGGGAGUUCCU
rnacentral:lncRNA from 1 species